rnacentral:rRNA from 1 species
GACGAACGCUGGCGGCGUGCUUAACACAUGCAAGUCGAACGGAAAGGCCCUGCUUGCCGGGUACUCGCGUGGCGAACGGGUGAGUAACACGUGGGUGAUCUGUCCUGUACUUCGGGGUAUGCCUGGGAGACUGGGUCUAAAAUCGCAUAGGAGCCCUCUUUCGUCAGGGGGUUGGAAAGUUUUUUGGGUCUAGGAUGGGCUCGCGGGCUAUCAACUUGUUGGUGGGGUGAUGGGCUGCCAAGGAGGCGGCGGGUAGCCGGCCUGGGGGGGGGGACGGCCACCUUGGGACUUGGAUACGGCCCCGACGCCUACGGGGGGCAGCAGUGGGGGAAAAUGCCCAAUGGGGGGAAGGCCUAUGGAGCGACGCCGGGGGGCGGAAUACGGGCCUCGGGGUGUAAACCCCCUUCGCUAGGGACCAAGCUUUUUGUGACGGUACCUAGUUAAGAAGCACCGGCUAACUACGUG